rnacentral:rRNA from 1 species
AUGAAACGGCCCGGCACCGCCAUCUGCCCUUCAGAAAGGAACUCCCAACCCUACCCCUUCGCAGGCCGCCGCAACCAACAGCGGAAGGCAUUCUUCCCCUCUCCCCUGAAUCAUCAAAAAGAAAAGAAACGAGACCUUCCUCUCGAGACGAACCCUAGAUCCGUUCUGACCUUCCGUCUGCUUCCUGUUCCGUACGACAUGGCUGCUCGUCGGCGUCUUCAUCCGCCACCCGGUGCGGAGCUCUCCCGCUCUCACCCUCGCUGGGUGAUGCUAGAUCGCUUCGUCCACUACAAGGCGUACGCGGGUGAGGCUGUUGCGGAGGAGGUAAUGGACGGCACGCAAUCGGCGAUCUCCUCUACCUGCACCAACAUAAGCAUCGCCGUCUCUCUCAGGGUUGCUGAACCGCCCGCUGUGUCCCGUCUCUACCUCCACUGGCCCGAGCGAUUCAUGACGGCGUCGUUGAGCCAGGUGAGUCAGCCGUUCAUCAUCGCGGCUCACGGCCGCUCCAUACUUUUCCAGGCGCAGGCCCCCUUCGUUGGAGAUAGCUGUCCGGCAUUCUACUAUUACCCCAUGGACUAUUUCCUCUACACAGCCUCUGACUCAGAGAAGUCUCCUUGUCUCAUGCGACUCCCGCCUUGCUUCGAUGGUGGGGACAAGAACCCGGACGUGGAUUUGUACUUCCACCCGUACCCGUCUCCAGCAGCUGCGAUCUAG